rnacentral:rRNA from 1 species
GAGGGUGCGAGCGUUAAUCGGAAUUACUGGGCGUAAAGCGCAUGCAGGUGGUUUGUUAAGUCAGAUGUGAAAGCCCGGGGCUCAACCUCGGAAUUGCAUUUGAAACUGGCAGACUAGAGUACUGUAGGAGGGGGGUAGAAUUUCAGGUGUAGCGGUGAAAUGCGUAGAGAUCUGAAGGAAUACCGGUGGCGAAGGCGGCCCCC